rnacentral:rRNA from 1 species
UAGGGAAUAUUAGUAAUGGGCGAAAGCCUGAACUAGCAACGCCGCGUGUGCGAAGAAGGCCUUCGGGUUGUAAAGCACUUUUUGAGGGGAUGUGGAAGGACGGUACUCUCAGAAUAAGUCUCGGCUAACUACGUGCCAGCAGCCGCGGUAACACGUAGGAGGCAAACGUUAUCCGGAUUUACUGGGCGUAAAGCGCGUGUAGGUGGUUUGGUAAGUAGGGCGUGAAAGCUCCUGGCUCAACUGGGAGAGGACGUCCUAAACUGCCAAGCUUGAGGAUGGUAGAGGGAGGUGGAAUUCCGGGUGUAGCGGUGGAAUGCGCAGAUAUCCGGAGGAACACCAGUGGCGAAGGCGGCCUCCUGGACCACUCCUGACACUCAGACGCGAAAGCUAGGGUAGCAAACGG